rnacentral:rRNA from 1 species
UACGUAGGGUGCGAGCGUUAAUCGGAAUUACUGGGCGUAAAGCGUGCGCAGGCGGUUCGUUGUGUCGGCGGUGAAAUCCCCGGGCUCAACCUGGGAAUGGCCGUUGAAACUGGCGAACUGGAGUGUGGCAGAGGGGGGUGGAAUUCCGCGUGUAGCAGUGAAAUGCGUAGAGAUGCGGAGGAACACCGAUGGCGAAGGCAGCCCCCUGGGCUGACACUGACGCUCAGGCACGAAAGCGUGGGGAGCAAACAGGG